rnacentral:lncRNA from 10 species
AGAGGUCAAAAGUCCGUCUGACUCACCUGUGCUGAGUGACUUGAAUGCCAUCUAAUCUAACUUCAAGAUCAUCAGGAUACUUGCCAACAAGGUCACAGUGGACUCCAUGGAGCAACUGCCCUCAGGAGGCAACAGAUGGCUUCACUUGCUUAUUGGCUGAAGGUCUGCAAGGACUCAAUUCACAUAUCUGAUCAUACCUGGAGUCCAGACUUUCUCCUGAUGCCUGGUAAGAACCCUAGGUUCAAGGAUGCAUUUACUGUGUCUCUGAAAUUUUCCUCCUAACCUCAGGAUUAGUUCUCACUCAGAGCUCCAGUCUCUACUCCAUGCAUUUCUUAUCCACACUCUUUUCCAGGCAUCCCAUUUUUUUACAGUUCCUAAACUUGCCACACUAAUCCAUGCAUCCAUGCCUCUGCCUUAAAAUGCCCCUCUUCUUUCCCACAAUUAUCUUGCUCUUGUUCUUUUUCUAGGGCUCAUAUCAUGUGUCUUCUUUCCCAUGCAACCUUUUUAGAUCCGCCCAAGCAGAAUUUACUACUCCCUUCAUUGUGUCAUCACAAACCUAUGCCAUAUUUGCACUUAACUCAUUGCAUUGCCAUUAUAAAUUUGUUUUUCCAUGGCAGAAACUGUUAAGACUCAGCAACAGUGUGUUGUGUGUUCCUCUAUAUUUCCCAGACCCCUUUGCCAUUAGGUCGGCUCCGUAUGACUGAGUUCUAGCCAGUGAGGUAUGGGCAGAAGUGAUGUGUACCAAUUGCGAGCUCGACUUUUGAAAUCAUCCCACGUGAUCCUCCUGCCAUCUACCAGCCAUCCUUUUUGAUCUUGAAGGUCUUAUGCCUCAGAUUGUGUAACUACAGGAUGAAGGAAGGCCACUCAACCCACACUUGGACAUGAUGUCACAGUGUUUGGACACCGCAUGAACAUGCCAAUUUCCUGUGUUGUAAUAUUUUUAUGCACUUUAAGAAGACCACCAGAAACAGCAGAGUGAGUGAAUGACUGAGGCGCAUAUUGGACAAAAAUCACUUAUCCAAGACCACGUUACUACAACCCCAGGGCACAGAAGCUAAGUCUUCCUAUUGUACUGAACUCAGUUGACUGGAAUUUGUUCAGGAAAGCAUGAAGUCAAAUGGAAGCUAGUCCGUGACUGGAUUCAUCUUUUGGUAAAAAACGAAGAGGAGACCCCAUAUCCUGGAGGUUCUUGCUUAACCCUGUCCCUAAUAAGACCUAACUUUAUGAGUCUUCUCCUUAGAGGCAGUCCUAGGGUAAGAGUGAUUAUUCCUGUGAGCCUUGUAGGUACUUUCGAAUCAAGGAAAUUAGUAGUUGAUUGCUAAUUAAUUCAGUAUUUAAUGAAUUUAAGUACCUAGGCAAUGAGGCCACAAUAGCAAAUAAGACACAGACCUGUUUUCAAAAAGUAGCCUGUAAAUAAGAUAUUUUUUUCUGCCAUGGUGGCAAAGGCAUGACUAUGGUGAUGAACAUUCAUAGGCUCACCUUCUAGCUCUGUUGUAUGUUAACUGUGUGAACUUGGGUCAAGUUAUGAAAACUCUAAGAACUCUCAAAACUCCUGAUCUGUUUUAACAUGAAAGUAAAGAUAUCUAAUUGAAUUGUUGUGAAACUUAAAUGUAAUGUGACAUCCAAAGAAUGUAGCCCAAAGUUGGAUUUCAGUAAGUGAUAAAUAGAAGUAUUUAAACAUGGGUAUGGUAUGUUCUGUAACAGAAGAAUGUCUAUGUGCUGGGGAUACCUAGAGACAGUGAAAAUUCUGUCUGGCCUGCGAAUUAUAAUAAAAUGACUCUUUAAAGUCAAUGAGUCUUAAUAUUUUCUCACAUCUACUUUUCUUUUUCUUUCUUUUUUUUCUUUUCUUUUUUUUUUUUUUUUUUUUUUUGAGAUGGAGUCUCACUCUGUCACCCAGGCUGGAGUGCAGUGGCACAAUCUGGGCUCACUGCAACCUCUGCCUCCCAGGUUCAAGCAAUUCUCCCACCUCAGACUCCCGAGUAGCUGGGAUUACAGGUACACACCACCAUGCCUGGCUAAUUUUUGUAUUUUUAGUAGAGACGGGGUUUUACUAUGUUGGCCAGGCUGGUCAUGAACUCCUGACCUCAGUUGAUCCACCCACCUUGGCCUCUGAAAGUGCUGGGAUUACAGGCCUGAGCCACCGCGCCCAGCCUCACGUCUACUUUUUAAGAUCAAACGCCAAAUCUUUGCCACAUCGAAUUUCUGGUUGAGUUACAUUUGGUAGUGGGUAUGAGAGGUAGUAUGGGAGGGAAGUCUUGAGUCUAGAGACUUCCAGAACAUUCAUAGUCCUCUAUAUUUCUGUCCCACUCUUGCUCUGAAGUAGGAGGAAACAUCUUUCCUUGACAUUGGCCUCUGGUUCACACACUGAUUCAAUUUUUGUCCAUGCUUUUUGGCAUAUCUCAUUUAAUUUUCACAAUUCUGAAAUGUAGAAAUUAUACUAUUUUUUACAGGUAUAAAAGGGU